rnacentral:rRNA from 1 species
UGGGGGAUAUUGCACAAUGGGCGAAAGCCUGAUGCAGCGACGCCGCGUGGGGGAUGAAGGCUUUCGGGUUGUAAACCUCUUUCGCUAUCGAACAAGGCCCGCUUAGGGUGGGUUAAGGGUAGGUGGAGAAGAAGCGCCGGCUAACUACGUGCCAGCAGCCGCGGUAAUACGUAGGGCGCGAGCGUUGUCCGGAAUUAUUGGGCGUAAAGGGCUUGUAGGCGGCUUGUUGCGCCUGCUGUGAAAACGCGGGGCUUAACUUCGCGCGUGCAGUGGGUACGGGCAGGCUUGAGUGUGGUAGGGGUGACUGGAAUUCCAGGUGUAGCGGUGGAAUGCGCAGAUAUCUGGAGGAACACCGAUGGCGAAGGCAGGUCACUGGGACAUUACUGACGCUGAGGAGCGAAAGCAUGGGUAGCGAACAGG